AAAACAAUGAGAGGGAUCUGACUAAUUAAAGGGGUACUUGACCAUAUGGUGAAUUUGCGCGCAUGUUUAUAUUGAAGAAUUGAAAUAUGAGAAUAAUGCUAACUUUGUAUAGCCAUGAAAGCUAGUUCGUAAAUUGGCGAUAUCGGCACCUUGACAUUUCCACAUGGUAUUAAGUACAUCCUCAGUAUCUUUCCAGUCAAGUAGGCGGCAUGUGAAGAAAUUAGCUGAUUAGAAUCUCUGUCCCUCAUAGUUCUACUCAUAGUCUCUA
rnacentral:misc_RNA from 1 species